AGAGUUUGAUCCUGGCUCAGGAUGAACGCUGGCGGCGCGCCUAACACAUGCAAGUCGAACGGCACCCAUCUUCGGAUGGAAGCGAGUGGCGAACGGCUGAGUAACACGUGGAGAACCUGCCCCCUCCCCCGGGAUAGCCGCCCGAAAGGACGGGUAAUACCGGAUACCCCGGGGUGCCGCAUGGCACCCCGGCUAAAGCCCCGACGGGAGGGGAUGGCUCCGCGGCCCAUCAGGUAGACGGCGGGGUGACGGCCCACCGUGCCGACAACGGGUAGCCGGGUUGAGAGACCGACCGGCCAGAUUGGGACUGAGACACGGCCCAGACUCCUACGGGAGGCAGCAGUGGGGAAUCUUGCGCAAUGGGGGGAACCCUGACGCAGCGACGCCGCGUGCGGGACGGAGGCCUUCGGGUCGUAAACCGCUUUCAGCAGGGAAGAGUCAAGACUGUACCUGCAGAAGAAGCCCCGGCUAACUACGUGCCAGCAGCCGCGGUAAUACGUAGGGGGCGAGCGUUAUCCGGAUUCAUUGGGCGUAAAGCGCGCGUAGGCGGCCCGGCAGGCCGGGGGUCGAAGCGGGGGGCUCAACCCCCCGAAGCCCCCGGAACCUCCGCGGCUUGGGUCCGGUAGGGGAGGGUGGAACACCCGGUGUAGCGGUGGAAUGCGCAGAUAUCGGGUGGAACACCGGUGGCGAAGGCGGCCCUCUGGGCCGAGACCGACGCUGAGGCGCGAAAGCUGGGGGAGCGAACAGGAUUAGAUACCCUGGUAGUCCCAGCCGUAAACGAUGGACGCUAGGUGUGGGGGGACGAUCCCCCCGUGCCGCAGCCAACGCAUUAAGCGUCCCGCCUGGGGAGUACGGCCGCAAGGCUAAAACUCAAAGGAAUUGACGGAAGGGCGA
rnacentral:rRNA from 1 species